rnacentral:lncRNA from 1 species
UUUACAAAUCUCUCCAGAAUUGGCCUCUUACCGGUUAAAAGUGAGGCGGGUGUUGGUUGAAGGAAAGCUGAUUUUUUUUGACAAACUCAGCAUGAGAAUGAGAACAGAUGGGGGCUUUGAUGAAUUGGAUAUUGCUAAAUGUUGUCCUCCUGCAAAUCAGCUUGGUUUUCCCUAUUAGCAUAAGAAGCAGGAAAAAGGAUUUAAUUUCUCUAAACAUUUCCCCUUAAUGAUCUACCUCUCCAGCUUAGAGAUUUAUAUUGCUGCUUAUCAGCGAAGCAGCUGAAUUCCUUCCACAGAGAAUCGACUGCAAUUUUGAGUUGAUUUCUGGCACUUCUCCCUCCCUGGGAUGAGAACCGUGCUUAGGAGAGGUGGUUGCUGUUUUUAAAUGGUAUCAACUCAGGCCUUUUUGUGUGGUUUUAGGUUGAUUUAACUGAGUGAUAUUUUUUAUUAAGGUGGUUUUUUUUCUUUUCCCCCCAGUAUUUAAAAGGGUCAAGAGGAGGCACCAGCACAUUGUGGAGAUGCUGUAGGCUCUUUGCCCCCAUCUGGCAGCGCUGCUGGCUCUCCCACAUCCCUGAUGCCUCUUCCACGCGUAUUAGGUCCUGCCGCCUCUCCUUCUGCACGAGCCUGUCUCACCGUGUUGGAGUCACUGGAUAAAUGGAGACCAAAGCCAAGCUUCUGUGGCCAGCUGUCUGAUAUCCUCUUCAGCCAUCCCUGUUCAUCGCGGAGGGGCCAGAGCAGCCGGGCUGUGGGAAACGGCUGGAAACUGGGAAACCAUAUGCCAGCUCUGAGGAGGCGUGAGGAAGGAUUCACUCCAAGUGGCUCAGCCCCAGCUCCAAGGACAUUACAUGUCGACGCGCAAGAGAUUUUGGGCCCAGCUGAAGAGGGACAUCACAAACAGAAGGGCUGGUUCUGCUCCAGGGCAUCCAUCACUUUUGGCAACGAGCUCCUUACGCAAUGGAAGGGCCGGUGGUCCUCCCGGUGAGUCGUGGCUGGAGAGGGGGCACGGGGGGGGAGCCAGGACAACCCGGCUGGGGGGACAGGGCUCAUCACAAGGUGAUGGAUAGUGACCCACGUGGUGUGACCCUCUCUGGGGACAGCACGCUUGGCGUGGGUGAGUACAUCCCUGUGGUCUGGCCCGGAAAGGGUUGGAUGGUUUCCUCCGAGUCCAUUCCCCCAUCCCCAUCUCCGGUGCCAAGGGGGGCUGCUCUGGGUGGUGGGGCUGUGGCUGCUGAGCCCUGCGUUCCUCGCUGAGGUGUCCCUCUCCCUCCUUUGCCAUUAACAUUUUUCUCAACGUCACGUUCAAGGGGAGGGCUGGAAAAGCUGAGCCGCGCCGAGCCCUAACCCAACAGCUGGGCUGCAGAUGUGCUGAGAAACCCACGCCAGCCCACGUGUCCCCAUCCCCUCUAGCCCCAGCUGCCCUCCGGGCACGGGGGGUGCACCCUUGAAGAGGGCUCAUCCUUAAUUUUCCACAGCACCCUGCACCCCUGCACCCCUCUGUGGACCGCUUUGUGGUCCGCUGGGAGAGAAAAAGCAUGAGAUUGAAACAACCACCAGCACUCUCAGAAAUAAUACAUGUUGUUUUUCCCCUUGACCCAGAGAAUUAUUAUUUCAGCUUGCUGGGGGUGGCUGUGCUUAUCCUCUGGCUGUGCUUUUGGCAGCUCCAUGUGCUGCCCCGGUGGGUGCGAUACGGCCCCUUCCCCGCGGCGAGGAGGGAGACUCAGCACCCCACCGCCUGGAAAAGCAUCAGGGCUCGGGCAAAGCGGUCCCUCUG